rnacentral:misc_RNA from 1 species
GAUGAAGAACGUAGCGAAAUGCGAUACGUAGUGUGAAUUGCAGAAUCCAGUGAAUCAUCGAAUCUUUGAACGCACAUUGCGCCCCUUGGUAUUCCGAGGGGCAUGCCUGUUCGAGCGUCAUAUUAACCACUCCCGCUUGCGGGGUCUUGGGCUUCGCCUCCGGGCGGGCCUUAAAAUCAGUGGCGGUGCCGUCGGGCUCUACGCGUAGUAAAUUUUCUCGCGAUAGGGUCCCGGUGGAUGCUUGCCAACAACCCCCAACUUCUUAAGGUUGACCUCGGAUCAGGUAGGGAUACCCGCUGAACUUAAGCAUAUCAAUAAGCGGAGGA